rnacentral:rRNA from 1 species
UGGGGAAUAUUGCGCAAUGGGCGAAAGCCUGACGCAGCAACGCCGCGUGAGUGAUGAAGGCCUUCGGGUCGUAAAGCUCUGUCGGAGGGAACGAAUGCUCCUGAAGUUAACAGCCUCAGGAGGUGACGGUACCGUUAAAGGAAGCCACGGCUAACUCUGUGCCAGCAGCCGCGGUAAUACAGAGGUGGCAAGCGUUGUUCGGAAUUACUGGGCGUAAAGGGCGCGUAGGCGGCCCUCUAAGUCAGACGUGAAAUCCCCCGGCUUAACCUGGGAACUGCGUCUGAUACUGGAGGGCUUGAGUAUGGGAGAGGGAUGUAGAAUUCCAGGUGUAGCGGUGAAAUGCGUAGAUAUCUGGAGGAAUACCGGUGGCGAAGGCGGCAUCCUGGACCAUUACUGACGCUGAGGCGCGAAAGCUAGGGGAG